AUUCAAUAGUUGUAUAACAUUUUUUUCUAUACAGGAGCUGUUGGCUGGUGGUGUUACUGCCAUAGUUUCUUCGUUUUUCUCCUGCUUCCCACCGGGAACUUCAUUGUCCAGAAGUCUAAUUCAAGACUCAUCAGGCGGUAAAACUCAGCUUGCAGGGAUCAUCUCGGCAUUCCUUAUCUUGAUUGUUUUGUUAGCAAUAGGACCUUACUUUGAAAGCUUACCAAAUUGUUGCCUAGCAGCCAUUGUUGUUGUAGCCCUUCGAGGAAUUUUUCGUCAGUUUCUUGACCUCCGAACUCUAUGGCGUGUUUCUAUAAUUGACUUUGUGAGUAUUUUCUGAAAUAUUUCAAAAAAGUGAGAAUGAUGUAUGUCCUAAUGCUAAUAAAACCCAGUGCACCAUUAUCAUUUAUACA